UAUUCCUAAUGCUGAGUGCAUUGCUGGAGGAGGUGAGCGUGAGGAACAUAGUCAGGGUGACAUCUUCACAAGCGGCCUGGGGAGCAGGCUCCUCUGCCCACCCUGAAGGAUUCCUUACCCUCCCGUGGCAUCUACAGAACUAGCAGAGGUGGAGCCCAGAGCGAAUGCACCAGAUGGGAGUUUAUACGGCUGCGACACCAAUUUUAGGCAUGUGAUUCCUUCUGGACUAGAAGGGGAGAUGGGACAAAAGCAAGGACAGGCUUGGGGACUUCAGGUAUAGACGUGACACUUGCCUUCUGAGGACAGAUGU
rnacentral:lncRNA from 1 species